rnacentral:rRNA from 1 species
CAGCCCACGGUAAUACGGAGGGUGCAAGCGUUAAUCGGAAUUACUGGGCGUAAAGCGCACGCAGGCGGUCUGACAAGUCAGAUGUGAAAUCCCCGGGCUUAACCUGGGAACUGCAUUUGAAACUGUCAGGCUGGAGUCUUGUAGAGGGGGGUGGAAUUCCAGGUGUAGCGGUGAAAUGCGUAGAGAUCUGGAGGAAUACCGGUGGCGAAGGCGGCCCCCUGGACAAAGACUGACGCUCAGGUGCGAAAGCGUGGGGAGCAAACAGGAUUAGAGACCCCAGUAGUCCCUGUCUCUUAUACAC